rnacentral:rRNA from 1 species
AGUGAAUAGAUACCCAGGUAGUCCCAGCUGUAAACUAUGCAGGCUAGGUGUUUGAGCGGCCACGUGCCGCUCUAGUGCCGCAGGGAAGUUGUUAAGCCUGCCGCCUGGGGAGUACGGUCGCAAGAUUGAAACUUAAAGGAAUUGGCGGGGGAGCACCACAAGGGGUGAAAGCUUGCGGUUUAAUUGGAGUCAACGCCGGAAAUCUCACCGGGGGCGACAGCAGUAUGAUGGCCAGAUUAAAGGUCUUGCCAGACGAGCUGAGAGGAGGUGCAUGGCCGUCGCCAGUUCGUGCCGUGAGGUGUCCUGUUAAGUCAGGCAACGAUCGAGACCCGCGUCCUCUGUUGCUACUGGUUUUGUACCAGGCACACUGAGGAGACCGCCGCUGACAAAGCGGAGGAAGGAGCGGGCCACGGCAGGUCAGUAUGCCCCGAAUCUCCCGGGCCACACGCGAGCUGCAAUGGCAGGUACAAUGGGUUCCGACCUCGAAAGGGGGAGGCAAUCUCGAAAGCCUGCCGUAGUUGGGAUCGUGGGUU